rnacentral:rRNA from 1 species
UGAAUGACUCUCGGCAACGGAUAUCUCGGCUCUUGCAUCGAUGAAGAACGUAGCGAAAUGCGAUACUUGGUGUGAAUUGCAGAAUCCCGUGAACCAUCGAGUCUUUGAACGCAAGUUGCGCCCGAAGCCAUUAGGCCGAGGGCACGCCUGCCUGGGUGUCACAC